GCCAUCAUGGCAUAGUGGUUUGAGUGAUGGAUUAUUAUUCUGGAGAUCAGGAUUCAAUUCCCUGCUUGGCC
rnacentral:tRNA from 1 species